GUGGGGAAUAUUGGACAAUGGGCGAAAGCCUGAUCCAGCCAUGCCGCGUGUGUGAAGAAGGUCUUCGGAUUGUAAAGCACUUUAAGUUGGGAGGAAGGGUAGUAGCCUAAUACGUUGCUACUUUGACGUUACCGACAGAAUAAGCACCGGCUAACUUCGUGCCAGCAGCCGCGGUAAUACGAAGGGUGCAAGCGUUAAUCGGAAUUACUGGGCGUAAAGCGCGCGUAGGUGGUUUUGUAAGUUGGAGGUGAAAUCCCCGGGCUCAACCUGGGAACUGCAUCCAAAACUGCAUGACUAGAGUACGGUAGAGAGUAGUGGAAGUUCCUGUGUAGCGGUGAAAUGCGUAGAUAUAGGAAGGAACACCAGUGGCGAAGGCGACUACCUGGACUGAUACUGACACUGAGGUGCGAAAGCGUGGGGAGCAAACAGGAUUAGAUACCCCGGUAGUCC
rnacentral:rRNA from 1 species